GUGAGGAAUUUUCCGCAAUGGGCGAAAGCCUGACGGAGCAAUGCCGCGUGAAGGAUGAAGGCCUAUGGGUUGUAAACUUCUUUUCUCAGAAAAGAAUUAUGACGGUAUCUGAGGAAUAAGCAUCGGCUAACUCUGUGCCAGCAGCCGCGGUAAGACAGAGGAUGCAAGCGUUAUCCGGCAUGAUUGGGCGUAAAGCGUCUGUAGGUUGUUUAAAAAGUAUUCUGUCAAAGAUUAGGGCUUAACCCUAGAUAGGCAGAAUAAACUUUUAAGCUAGAGGUUGGUAGAGGCAGAGGGAAUUCCCGGUGGAGCGGUGAAAUGCGUAGAUAGCGGGAGGAACACCAAAGGCGAAGGCACUCUGCUGGGCCAAUACUAACACUGAGAGACGAAAGCGAGGGGAGCAAAUGGGAUUAGAUACCCUUGUAGUCC
rnacentral:rRNA from 1 species